GUGUUUUUUUUAAUUUUUAGGUUGAUAGUCUCCUCCCUAAUGAAACAUUCCUACUUUAUAGGUGCUUCAUUUGUUUUUAGAUCGAGAUGGUAAUAAAUGUCUCCUCCCUAAUGAAACAUCCCUACUUUAUGGGUGUUUUAUUUUUUUUUAAGUUGGUAAGAUAAAAAUCUCCUCCUCUUUAAUGAAACAUCCCUACUUUAUGGGUGUUUCAUUUGUUUUUAAGUUGCUAGGGUAAUAAACUCUGGUGUUUUUUUUAUUUUUAGGUUGGUAUAGUGAUAAACGUCUCCUCCCUAAUGAAACAUUCCUACUUUAUGGGUGUUUUAUUUAUUUUUAAUGUUGGUAAGAUAAAAAAACUUCUCUUCAAUAAAACAUCCCUACUUUAUUGAUGCUUCAUUUGUUUUUAGGUCGGCAUGGUAAUAAAUGUCUCCUCCCUAAUGAAACAUCCCUACUUUAUAGGUGCUUCAUUUGUUUUUAGAUUGAUAUGGUAAUAAAUGUCUCCUCCUUAAUGAAACAUCCCUACUUUAUGGGUGUUUCAUUAAUUUUUAAGUUGGUAUGGUAAUAAAUGUCUCCUCCCUAAUGAAACAUCUCUACUUUAUGAGUGUUUCAUUUGUUUUUAAGUUGCUAUGGUAAUAAACUUUGGUGUUUUUUUUAUUUUUAGGUUGGUAUAGUGAUAAACGUCUCCUCCUUAAUGAAACAUCCCUACUUUAUAGGUGCUUCAUUUGUUUUUAGAUUGAUAUGGUAAUAAAUGUCUCCUCCCUAAUGAAACAUUCCUACUUUAUGGGUGCUUCAUUUGUUUUUAAGUUGGUAUGGUAAUAAAUGUCUCCUCCUUAAUGAAACAUCCCUACUUUAUGGGUGUUUUAUUUAUUUUUAAGUUGGUAAGAUAAAAAUCUCCUCCUCUUUAAUGAAACAUCCCUACUUUAUGGGUGUUUCAUUUGUUUUUAAAUUGCUAUGGUAAUUAAACUGUGGUGUUUUUUUUUAUUUUAGGUUGGUAUAGUAAU